rnacentral:rRNA from 1 species
UACGUAGGGGGCGAGCGUUGUCCGGAUUUAUUGGGCGUAAAGAGCUCGUAGGCGGCUUGGCAAGUCGGGUGUGAAAACUCCAGGCUCAACCUGGAGACGCCACUCGAGACUGCUAUGGCUAGAGUCCGGUAGGGGACCACGGAAUUCCUGGUGUAGCGGUGAAAUGCGCAGGAUAUCAGGAGGAACACCGGUGGCGAAGGCGGUGGUCUGGGCCGGCACUGACGCUGAGGAGCGAAAGCGUGGGGAGCAAACAGG